rnacentral:piRNA from 1 species
UUUUCUGUGAUGGAAGUGGAGAGGGC